rnacentral:rRNA from 1 species
UACGGAGGGGGCUAGCGUUGUUCGGAAUUACUGGGCGUAAAGCGCACGUAGGCGGCUUUGUAAGUCAGAGGUGAAAGCCUGGAGCUCAACUCCAGAACUGCCUUUGAGACUGCGUCGCUCGAAUCCGGGAGAGGCGGGUGGAAUUCCGAGUGUAGAGGUGAAAUUCGUAGAUAUUCGGAAGAACACCAGUGGCGAAGGCGGCCCGCUGGACCGGCAUUGACGCUGAGGUGCGAAAGCGUGGGGAGCAAACAGG